UCAGGUUUCAUGCAGUUCAACUCUCCCCUGUCGUCACCUCUUCAAUUGGCCCCCGUUUUGCCUGUUUAUUUAAUUUUCUAUUAAAUUUAAUUUCUCUCUUGUUCGUCUGGAAGAGCUUUAAUUUUUGUUUUCCCUAUGCCGUGCGUGAAGGCUUUUUCUGUGCUUUAUUUGUUCUCAUAGUUCAUUUGAGGCGUUUCAAUGAUUCUAGAGGAAAAAUGAUAUGAUAUUAUCGAGACAAGGCCAGCCAAGGAAAGCUCGGAUGCGAUUGUAUCAAGCAGAAUUAGCCUGUUCUUUAUGGUGCUUGAAAAGGGGGGGAAAUGUCGAUCCAUGCUCGGAAAGGGGGUCUUUAGGAUUCUGGUAUCUUAAAUAACAAUUGUAGAACAUAGCUUUUAUAUCAGGUAUGCAUUAAAAUUGAGACUACCUUAAACUAAACCCAGUGCCUUGAACUUUGUGUUAACACUUCAGAGUUCCGCUUUGUGGUUUAGGUUUUGCAAUGUCAUUGAUACUUAAAAGUAUACUGCAUCUAGCUUUCUUUGAAUUCUGAGACUUGUGAAAACGAGAGGGGGAAAUGCUGCAGUAAAGUUAAUACGAUGUAACAGUAUCAUGGUGUUUAGCCUCUCUAUCCAAAUCACCCUGCCUUUUCUAUUUUUUUCUCUUUAUUUUGCAUUCAAGCUUCUCAAAAAGUAUCACGUUGGACCAUGAAUGUGAAUGUGAUAUGAUAUGAUUUAAGCAGAUCGAGACUCCUUGUAAUCCUGUAUGAUUGCUAUUCGCUGAGGCCAAAUUAUUUUCCCUUACCGUUUUGGUUUA